rnacentral:rRNA from 1 species
UAGUGAGUUUGAUCCUGGCUCAGAACGAACGCUGGCGGCAGGCCUAAUACAUGCAAGUCGAGCGCAGGAAGCUCACGGAACUCUUCGGAGGGAAGUGAAGGGAAUGAGCGGCGGACGGGUGAGUAACACGUAAGGAACCUGCCCCAAGGAUUGGGAUAACUCCGAGAAAUCGGAGCUAAUACCGAAUAGUUCUUCAGACCGCAUGGUCUGAUGAUGAAAGGCGCUUCGGCGUCACCUUGGGAUGGCCUUGCGGUGCAUUAGCUAGUUGGUGGGGUAAUGGCCCACCAAGGCGACGAUGCAUAGCCGACCUGAGAGGGUGAUCGGCCACACUGGGACUGAGACACGGCCCAGACUCCUACGGGGAGGCAGCGAGU